GACGAACGCUGGCGGCGUGCUUAACACAUGCAAGUCGAACGGAAAGGCCCUGCUUUUGUGGGGUGCUCGAGUGGCGAACGGGUGAGUAACACGUGAGUAACCUGCCCUUGACUUUGGGAUAACUUCAGGAAACUGGGGCUAAUACCGGAUAGGAGCUCCUGCUGCAUGGUGGGGGUUGGAAAGUUUCGGCGGUUGGGGAUGGACUCGCGGCUUAUCAGCUUGUUGGUGGGGUAGUGGCUUACCAAGGCGUUGACGGGUAGCCGGCCUGAGAGGGUGACCGGCCACAAUGGGACUGAGAUACGGCCCAGACUCCUACGGGAGGCAGCAGUGGGGAAUAUUGCACAGUGGGCGGAAGCCUGAUGCAGCGACGCCGCGUGAGGGAUGACGGCCUUCGGGUUGUAAACCUCUUUCAGCAGGGAAGAAGCGAAAGUGACGGUACUUGGAGAAGAAGCGCCGGCUAACUACGUG
rnacentral:rRNA from 1 species